UUUGAUCGUUGUAUCUUCUUCUUUUUUGUGCAAGUCAUUAUGUUGAAUUCCUUUUGAGUUUAGUCAGCUUUUUUUGUUUUUUUUUUUGUUUUAAGGUCAAAUCCAAAAAUGCAAAGUUUAAUAAUGAAUGUUGUCAAAAAGGGGUUAAACCCUUGACCCUUAGAUCAUAAGCAUAGUACUUAAACACUAGACCAACCAACUCAAUUGUUCAACUUAUUGCAAUAUAUUUAUAUAUUACAUAAAUGAAAUAUUUACUAUUUAAUUUAUUUGUUUAGUUCAUUACAUGUUUAAUACUAGAAUAUAUUAUUGA
rnacentral:lncRNA from 1 species